GAAAUGUAUUAUAUACAAACUUAUUGGUUCACCACGCAAAUCAGCAUGCUUCGCACUGCAAUCGCUCAUUUCCCCGCACAACAAUAAUAAAAAACACACGCCAAAAUACGCCCAAAGACCAUAUUUUGAUAUAUUUUUGAAGCGCACUCAUGUGCGUGUGUGUGUGUGUCCGACACACCAGCCACAUUACUCGCAUAAAAUCAAACAAAUUGUGAUGCCUGCUCACAUGUGCUGACGCUUUGUCUAACCGUUUUUUGUAUAUUUUUAGCGCUAACGCUAGCUGCUCGCCGCCGCCACCACCACCGCCCAGGCGGCAAUUGGCAGACCGACAAGCAACAACAAACAUGUGAGACAACAAGCUAGCGCAAGCAUGUGUCGUUGGCCGUGGCUAAGACGAACAGGCGCACAGCAAGGCACAGCAAGCAAGUACCAAAAGCGACAGCCAACAGCUAUGUAACAACCAACAGCCAACAGCUCAGCGAACAGCCAACGCGAUGACGCGCCGUGAAAACUCGCCAACAAACGCAAAGGCAUUAAGAAAAACACACAACAACGACAACAAUAACAAUGGUGGUGUUGGCAAAUGAGUGCGCCAGCAACAAACAACAAAAGCAAAGAAAGUGCCAGUCAGCGGUCGGGAGAGUGGGUGCUUGCGGCCGCGAGCGCGUUUGAUUCGAUUUGGGAGUAAUGCUGCCGUCAGUGCCGGCGCUGCGGAGACUUUAUUUGUGUAAAAUGCCUGUCUCGCCUGUCAGAAAAGCGCUCAGCAGUGCUCAGUGUUCGGCGCUCAGCUGUUGGCGGCCAGCAAGCGCGCUCACUCACUCCCAGCGCCGAAAUAGCACACAAAACACGCUAUUUGUGCCGAAGCUAGCCAGCGAACUGGCGCGGCAACUAAACAAAGAAAAGCAGAAAAGCACGCGAUAAACGGGUGAAAAUCAAAUUCGUAUUCUUUGUGUUUAAUUUUUGCGAAGAAGUGCUAAUUUUUCUACGCGCGUUAGUACCGAGUGGCGGAGUGGCAGCUGAUGAAGUAAUAUAUUGGAAAAUUACGUUUUUUUCUUCGCCGUUUGGAGCAAGAAUAUCGCGUUUGAAGGAGUUCUUAGUACAAAUCUGGUGCAGUGCAAAUGAAAAGUGAAAAAAUGCAAUGUGUUUUUUGUGUUCUAUAAAUAUACGCUACAAUGCAGCGAGCAUAAAAAUUAAUGGAAAGAUACGAAUUUAGCGUCGAAAUAGCUCGAAAUCAAAGUGAUUUUGUGUUUCGAAAUAAAUGUUUUAAAAAUUUUAUAAAAAAUAAAGGAAAAACUGGAGUGCGUAUUAUAAGAAAAAAUUUUAGACCGCAGUCAAUUUUCGCAGUGUGAAACAUAAAUUUAUUCAUUAAGCGCACACAGCAAGAUAUACAAAAAUAAGCCGUGCAAAUAAAUAUUUGUGUAUUUGUAUAUAUUAGUUAAAACGAUUUUAUAUUAAAAAACAAAAGCAAUAAACAACAACAACAAAAGAUCGACACUUCAUUUCAACAACGCAAUUCCUGCUGCGUCAAAGCAGCAACAAUCAUUACAACAAACAACAGCCGAGCACCCUUUUCGCCGCCAAUCCCGCUGUCAGCGCCCACAACAAA
rnacentral:lncRNA from 1 species